AUAUGGAUUAUAAAGGGAGUCAAUCAAAUGAGGAACAUUGGCGUAUCUUUUAUUCCUUUCAACUCCUGCCAAAAUGAAUCACUCACCCAUAGGCUUUAGCAUAUGAAAUAAUUAUAAAAAAAAUGUGUCGCCAUAUUAAGUACUUUAUACCUUUAGGUGUAGCCAUAUUACUUUAAGGAAGAAGACUCAAGGCUUCUUACACUCUGUAUUUAUGUGUGUGCGUGCGUGUUUGCAUGUUUAAAUUAGUGCGCCUACAUGCACAGUUCUUCUGCAGAGGACAUAGAUAGAUUCAGCAGAUUUAUUUUUGCCAUUUCUCCCCAAGGUAAAUAUAGUGGUCAUUACAGUGUUACACUGUCCCAUGUUGCAGCACUGACAAAGCAGCAGAGGGUGUUGGAAAUGAAUCUGUGCUGAAUACAAGACCAAAAAGGGAAUACCAGUACAGAGAACAUACACUAACACUACCAAAGUAUUAAGGGAAAAUAUGAGGGGAAAAACAACAAAACAUGUAACCCUGCAUUCAUAAACAUACAGAACCAGAAAGCAUAAUCUAUUCAACAGAAAAUUAUUAAAAUGCAUAAUCCUACAAAGUUCUUUGAAAAUGCCCAUAGGUAGACUAACUAAUACACUUUUUUCUUUGUCUUUUCUAUCAAUUUUUGACUCUCUGACUAUGUAUUUGGACUCAGUGUGCUGUAUUAUUAUUACUCACUGGUCCUCAUUGUGUAAAAACCUGCAAAUGAUGCUGACCUUUAACCCUCAGGAACACCUCAACUAUUUAAAUUCAAAGUAAACACCUGUAUCACCUGUGAGGACAGUAAGUUACAAAUGUGCAGAGAUAGUAAGCUAGUUUAUAAUGCGUUCAUAAAAGGCUUAGAACAAGGCUGAAGCUUAAGUCACAACCCCUCGCUUUUCUGCGUUGACUAUUAUACUGUAACAUCUUUCUAGAUAAAUACAGUGAAUCUGCUGUCAGGACUUCAGAGUGCAUCAUUUGGAUGGAGUUCUGCAAGUGAAAGUCCAAUCUGAUAAGGCUUUGAGAGCCGAAACAAUAAUCUCUGAGGCUAACUACUGUAGCAGUUUUUACGCUAGUAAAAAAGAUGCUUUUCUUUAAUGUAAAGGAUAUGCAUUGCAGUAAAGGUUAGCUUUUCAGUAAUGGCCAAGAUGACUACGAUGGCAGCAUGUGGCAUUUAAUCACUUUUACUCUUUGAAACAUCAAAUUUGUGUGUGAGUGUGAGUAGAACAGACAUUUAAAGAGAAAAUGGCGAUUAUUGUUAGUUGUUAUGGUAAUGUGUGUCACACUCAUGUAUCUAUAGAGAGACACACAUUUUCAUGAUGACUUACCAAUAGAAAUUUGAAGCAAUUAAAUCCGAAAUUCUCAAUUCCUCUCUAGCAGCAAGGCAACGGACAUAGCGCCCAAAAGAUGCCUCAUCAUGCUUUGUGCUACUCCAGUACUUAUUUGUUGCAAAACCUCUCCUCAGUGAGUCUCGACUUUCUGCAAGUUGGUUUAUAAGGAAGUUUAUGUGGAAGUUAGCCCGCUACAAUGAUUACAGUUCUUUGCAAUGGCAAGAGUACACAUAAAAAUGGCUGCCACUCUGACCAUCCUGCUAUGUUGAUUUGAAUGGGAAUGUCUGUUCUACUCUCAUUCUAUUUCUAUGGUUCUGACAUUUAUCUCCUUGUGAAUUUUGGCCCACAUUGGCCCUAAAAAUUUGUGUAGCCCCUACUUUCAAAACACCAUGACGUAAACCAAUUACAUAACAAACUGCACAGUAGCUUGAGCAGGAUGCAAAAUGUCUCUAAAGAAUAUCCCACUUUGCUUCAAUAAUUCACAUUUACAUAGAAAACGUGUUUGAGAUAGCAUAAGUAGAUCUUGAUGCAGUGAGGUAAUAUGUCAUGAAUGAUCCACUGCUAAUCAUGAUGAGUUUUCAUGAUCUACAUGCACCUGAAUCUUUUAUGCACUGGUAUCUCAUGUACCACUGCUCUCUAUAAUCUCAUUUCUUUAAAGUGAUCUUCAAAAAAACUGCACAGCACACAAGUCAACCUGUAGACAGGAUAUGAUAGAGCUUUCCUGUGAUUGAAAUUACAUUGGGUAUAGAACACCAUGUCCUAGUAUCCUUGCAGAUCCUCUGAUACUCUAUUACCACACAAUGUUCUUGGCUGUGGUGAAUGGUGCACUAUGCCCGUAAUGGCCUGUUAACUGCUGCCCUGACUCUGCUACAGUGUGGAGGGGCUCAGGAAUUACAGCUGAGGCCACACAAGUUGAAGAUAAUUAGUUGAACCACUGAUUAGACAGAUAAUCAUGUAUAUCAGGCCAAACUUGUUAGCAGCUACAGAAUCAGAUUUUUUUUUUCUGGCCUCUAAUGAUCGUGUGUUGCCUCACUCUUUGUAUCCUAUAUACAAAAUGCCUGCUGUUUUCUGUAUGUUGUCUGCAAUUCAUACCUAAUGAGCUAUAUAAUCAUCAUUACAGACACAAUGAAUACAUUUUAUUCAGCUUUUGAAAAACCUGAUAACAUAUUACCAAUGUUAUGCCAAGCUAUUCAAUACAACACAGACAGCUUAACCAAAGUGGUCCAGAUUUAGAAAAAAAAACAUCUAUCAUAUGUGUGUAACUUCCACUUCUAGUUCUAUUUCAAGCCUCCAGGUUGUACAAUUAUAUAAUUACUUAUUAUUAACUCAAACUCUCCAAUGCUCCUGCUUUGUGAAUGUAUAAAUACAGUAUGCAGUGUGCGUGAGAGAGCAAGAUAUUGUGUUUUUGUGUCUGUGUCUAUUUACAUUCUUUCAUUGGCAUCUCUAAUGUUACUCUGUUUUGUAUUUAGAGGCUGCUUUUACUCAAGUACAGUAGAGGUGGUGGAAUAAUGAAGGGUAAAGUGAUGCAGUAAAUUGUGUUUCAAUUCUUCUCAGAUACUCAGAUGAAAUUGUUAUUCGCAGAAGGUCCUAUAGCAUAUUUCUCCUUGCGCUUCCUCUUUGAUCUGUCAAGUGCUUUGCCUGCAGAUCAGAGAUGCUCACUUGCAACAGUAGUAGAGCAUUCAUCACACAAUGUAUCUCAUCUUUAAAGGUGAUGGGAUUCUGUCUACUGGGUUAUUUUGUUGAUGAUCUUUUUAUUUUAUUUUUUUAGAGUGGACUAUGUAUGCAUUUUGCCCAAGUCACAUCAGUCUUAAGUCAUUACUUGUGUUUGAGCUGAUACAGUAUAUCAGCAUUGAUAGUGUAUUUUUAUUUCUUAAUUGGUUUUAUUUGAUUGUCAUACUUAUUCACACAUGUAGCAUACGUAACUCUCAGAACCAAACAAGCUUUACAAUUAUGUAAAAAAAGAAAAAUGAGACGAGUAUUUUUAUAUAGUUGACACGAUUAAAUAAUUGCUUUCUUCUCACUAGUACCUUGCACUUACCACAUGUACUAAUACAUACACAAGGAAGAAAUUGUCCAAAUACACGGUAUUUGUGAAAGUAAAACCAUUAAUUUUCUUGCAGGUUGAUGCUCCAUUUUGUACAAUAUACGUAUAUGCUGUACAGUAAAGAAAUUUUAAAACUACAAAAACUCUUUUAGAUAUACAUUAUUUAUUUUUACCAUUUUGUAAUUUAGACACUAUACUGUAGCUUCAAUAUUGCCAGACUUACUGGAAGUGCCUAUAUUGGUAUUAUGUAUCAUACAGUGAAUAUAUUUGAAGAUCAUUAGAAGUUGUCACAAACUGAACCAUGUGGAUGUUGUAAUGUGAAUACAUUGAAUUACAAGACUAUAAUUUCUGUGGUAUCAC